rnacentral:rRNA from 1 species
GACGAACGCUGGCGGCGUGCCUAAUACAUGCAAGUUGAGCGCUGAGGGCUGGUACUUGUACCGACUGGAUGAGCAGCGAACGGGUGAGUAACGCGUGGGGAAUCUGCCUUUGAGCGGGGGACAACAUUUGGAAACGAAUGCUAAUACCGCAUAAAAACUUUAAACACAAGUUUUAAGUUUGAAAUAUGCAAUUGCGUCACUCAAAGAUGAUCCCGCGUUGUAUUAGCUAGUUGGUGAGGUAAAGGCUCACCAAGGCGAUGAUACAUAGCCGCACUGAGAGGGUGAUGGGCCAGACUGGGAGGGAGACACGGCACAAUGGCCCACGGGAGGGAGCAGGAGUGCAUCUGGGGGCAGGGGUGAGAGUUAGUGCGAGAAACGCCGCGGGAGGGAAGAAGGUUGUCGGAUCGGAAAACUCGGUUGGUAGGGAAGAAAGCGGGUGAGAGUGGAACGCUCAGUAAGUGACGGUAACUAGCCAGAAAGCGACGGCUAACUACGUG